ensembl:lncRNA
GACAGAUCAAGGACUCUGCCAGAAUAGUUAGCUCCUGCACUAACAGGAAAUUUUACUACCCUACUGAUCUUAGAAGUUGAGUCUUCAUCAUUAUAGGAGAACUUUUAGGUUACAGCCUGAAUGGAUGAUUGAGCACUCAGGGAAGGGGUAUGAUUGACCCAGGAAACACAGUGCAAUUUGCGUGUGCUUCCUACAUGACCAGAAAGGGUGGACCCAGGGCUCCUCCCACCCCUUGGGCUCAUUUAAGGGUUAGCCUCUGAAAGGAGAAUGUCUUCUGAGUGAAGGUUAUUUUCUGAGAAGGAGUGCUUUACAGCCAGAGGUCCUCAUCACGAGCUAGUGAUCAAAAAAUAGAAUGUAAUGGUGUAAUUAAAGGCUGGACCCCAUACACAGAAGGAGCCAAUUAUGUGGCCAUUUUCAUAUCCACAGAGGAGGAAACUGAAAAGGAAGGGGAAAAAAAAUGAAGUGAGCUGAGAAGCAUGAGUGUGGAGUUUUCUGCCUGCCAGACAGCCUGAACAGCUCUGUGAGCCUCCCCACAGGGUCACAUCUCUUACCUUCAAAGGUCGAAGACUGUGAGAAGAGGAAAAGCUCCCUCAGGCAAACAUAGCAGAUACUAGCUGAAAGUCUGGC